GGUGAGGCUUCCAUCCGGAGGCGAGGAGACAAGGGACAAGAGCGCAAGUCCGUUGCGGCGGAUUACAAGGCUAUUAUUAGACCCCUCAAUAAUUGUGAGUAUUAUUAGUUUGAUGUUGUGUCGUAGGAUAAGAUGACAUUUGGUGUAUCUGAUGUAGCUGUAAGUGUUGUAUUGUGUUGUCUGACAAGUGUUGAUGAGAUGUAUUCUUUACCUCGCUCAGGUUUACACGCAUAUUAAAAGCGAGUAAAACAA